CGCAAUGCCCGAAAGGGUGACGAAGCGACGCCGCGUGUGGGAAGAAGGCCUUCGGGUUGUAAACCACUGUCGGGAGUUAAGAAAUGUAAGGAUGUUAAUAGUAUUCUUACUUGACUAAGGCUCCGGAGGAAGCCACGGCUAACUCUGUGCCAGCAGCCGCGGUAAUACAGAGGCGGCAAGCGUUGUUCGGAAUUAUUGGGCGUAAAGAGCAUGUAGGCGGCCAUGUAAGUCGGUUGUGAAAGCCUUCCGCUUAACGGAAGAAUGGCGGCCGAAACUGCAUAGCUUGAGUGCGGUAGGGGAGAGUGGAACUUCUGGUGGAGCGGUGAAAUGCGUAGAUAUCAGAAGGAACGCCGGCGGCGAAAGCGACUCUCUGGGCCGUAACUGACGCUGAGUGUGCGAAAGCUAGGGGAGCAAACGGGAUUAGAUACCCCGGUAGUCCUAGCCGUAAACGAUGGGCACUAAGUAGAGGGGUUUU
rnacentral:rRNA from 1 species